UUUGAUUCUGGCUCAGGAUGAACGCUAGCGGCAGGCUUAAUACAUGCAAGUCGAGGGGCAGCAUGAGUGUAGCAAUACAUUUGAUGGCGACCGGCAAACGGGUGCGGAACACGUACAGAACCUUCCUUCGAGCGGGGAAUAGCCCAGAGAAAUUUGGAUUAAUACCCCAUAGCAUAUUGGAGUGGCAUCACUCUAAUAUUAAAGAUUUAUCACUUGAAGAUGGCUGUGCGGCUGAUUAGAUAGUUGGCGGGGUAACGGCCCACCAAGUCUGCGAUCAGUAACUGGUGUGAGAGCACGACCAGUCACACGGGCACUGAGACACGGGCCCGACUCCUACGGGAGGCAGCAGUAAGGAAUAUUGGUCAAUGGACGAAAGUCUGAACCAGCCAUGCCGCGUGGAGGAUGAAGGCCCUCUGGGUUGUAAACUUCUUUUAUUUGGGACGAAAAAAGGCUUUUCUAAGUCGUCUGACGGUACCAGAUGAAUAAGCACCGGCUAACUCCGUGCCAGCAGCCGCGGUAAUACGGAGGGUGCAAGCGUUAUCCGGAUUCACUGGGUUUAAAGGGUGCGUAGGUGGGUUGGUAAGUCAGUGGUGAAAUCUCCGAGCUUAACUUGGAAACUGCCAUUGAUACUAUCAGUCUUGAAUAUUGUGGAGGUUAGCGGAAUAUGUCAUGUAGCGGUGAAAUGCUUAGAUAUGACAUAGAACACCCAUUGCGAAGGCAGCUUACUACGGAUAUAUUGACACUGAGGCUCGAAAGCGUGGGGAUCAAACAGGAUUAGAUACCCUGGUAGUCCACGCCCUAAACGAUGGAUACUCGACAUCAGCGAUACACUGUUGGUGUCUGAGCGAAAGCAUUAAGUAUCCCACCUGGGAAGUACGAUCGCAAGAUUGAAACUCAAAGGAUUGACGGGGG
rnacentral:rRNA from 1 species